rnacentral:rRNA from 1 species
UGGGGAAUUUUGGACGAAUUGGGCGAAAGCCUGAUCCAGCAAUGCCGCGUGUGUGAAGAAGGCCUUCGGGUUGUAAAGCACUUUUGUCCGGAAAGAAAUCCUUGGCUCUAAUACAGUCGGGGGAUGACGGUACCGGAAGAAUAAGCACCGGCUAACUACGUGCCAGCAGCCGCGGUAAUACGUAGGGUGCAAGCGUUAAUCGGAAUUACUGGGCGUAAAGCGUGCGCAGGCGGUUUGCUAAGACCGAUGUGAAAUCCCCGGGCUCAACCUGGGAACUGCAUUGGUGACUGGCAGGCUAGAGUAUGGCAGAGGGGGGUAGAAUUCCACGUGUAGCAGUGAAAUGCGUAGAGAUGUGGAGGAAUACCGAUGGCGAAGGCAGCCCCCUGGGCAAUACUGACGCUCAUGCACGAAAGCGUGGGGAGCAAACAGGAUUAGAUACCCUGGUAGUCCACGCCCU